AUACGGAGGAUCCGAGCGUUAUCCGGAUUUAUUGGGUUUAAAGGGUGCGCAGGCGGCCAUUUAAGUCAGCGGUUAAAUCGUGGGGCUCAACCCCAUUCUGCCGUUGAUACUGGGUGGCUUGAUUGCGGUCGAGGUUGGCGGAAUUCGUUGUGUAGCGGUGAAAUGCAUAGAUAUGACGAAGAACACCGAUUGCGUAGGCAGCUGACCAGACCGCAAAUGACGCUCAUGCACGAAAGUGCGGGGAUCGAACAGGAUUAGAUACCCUGGUAGUCCGCACAGUAAACGAUGAAUACUUGUUUUCGGCGAUAUAAUGUCGGAGGCAAAGCGAAAGCGAUAAGUAUUCCACCUGGGGAGUACGCCGGCAACGGUGAAACUUAAAUGAAUUGGCGGGG
rnacentral:rRNA from 1 species